AGUGAACGCUGGCGGUAGGCCUAACACAUGCAAGUCGAGCGGCAGCACAGUAAGAGCUUGCUCUUACGGGUGGCGAGUGGCGGACGGGUGAGGAAUACAUCGGAAUCUACUUUUUCGGGGGGGAUAACGUAGGGAAACUUACGCUAAUACCGCAUACGACCUACGGGUGAAAGCAGGGGAUCUUCGGACCUUGCGCGAUUGAAUGAGCCGAUGUCGGAUUAGCUAGUUGGCGGGGUAAAGGCCCACCAAGGCGACGAUCCGUAGCUGGUCUGAGAGGAUGAUCAGCCACACUGGAACUGAGACACGGUCCAGACUCCUACGGGAGGCAGCAGUGGGGAAUAUUGGACAAUGGGCGCAAGCCUGAUCCAGCCAUACCGCGUGGGUGAAGAAGGCCCUCGGGUUGUAAAGCCCUUUUGUUGGGAAAGAAAAGCAGCAGGUUAAUACCCCGCUGUUCUGACGGUACCCAAAGAAUAAGCACCGGCUAACUUCGUG
rnacentral:rRNA from 1 species